AGUGAACGCUGGCGGUAGGCCUAACACAUGCAAGUCGAACGGCAGCACAGUAAGAGCUUGCUCUUACGGGUGGCGAGUGGCGGACGGGUUAGGAAUACAUCGGAAUCUACUUUUUCGUGGGGGAUAACGUAGGGAAACUUACGCUAAUACCGCAUACGACCUACGGGUGAAAGCAGGAGAUCUUCGGACCUUGCGCGAUUGAAUGAGCCGAUGUCGGAUUAGCUAGUUGGCGGGGUAAAGGCCCACCAAGGCGACGAUCCGUAGCUGGUCUGAGAGGAUGAUCAGCCACACUGGAACUGAGACACGGUCCAGACUCCUACGGGAGGCAGCAGUGGGGAAUGUUGGACAAUGGGCGCAAGCCUGAUCCAGCCAUACCGCGUGGGUGAAGAAGGCCUUCGGGUUGUAAAGCCCUUUUGUUGGGAAAGAAAAGCAGCAGGUUAAUACCCCGCUGUUCUGACGGUACCCAAAGAAUAAGCACCGGCUAACUUCGUG
rnacentral:rRNA from 1 species